AUUGAACGCUGGCGGCAGGCCUAACACAUGCAAGUCGAGCGGAUGAAGGGAGCUUGCUCCUGGAUUCAGCGGCGGACGGGUGAGUAAUGCCUAGGAAUCUGCCUGGUAGUGGGGGAUAACGUCCGGAAACGGGCGCUAAUACCGCAUACGUCCUGAGGGAGAAAGUGGGGGAUCUUCGGAACUCACGCUAUCAGAUGAGCCUAGGUCGGAUUAGCUAGUUGGUGGAGUAAAGGCCUACCAAGGCGACGAUCCGUAACUGGUCUGAGAGGAUGAUCAGUCACACUGGAACUGAGACACGGUCCAGACUCCUACGGGAGGCAGCAGUGGGGAAUAUUGGACAAUGGGCGAAAGCCUGAUCCAGCCAUGCCGCGUGUGUGAAGAAGGUCUUCGGAUUGUAAAGCACUUUAAGUUGGGAGGAAGGGCAGUAAGUUAAUACCUUGCUGUUUUGACGUUACCAACAGAAUAAGCACCGGCUAACUUCGUG
rnacentral:rRNA from 1 species